GAAAUCUGCGCCAAAGAAGAGGCGAGGAUGUGUCCAGCGCACGUGAAGUACAAGGAAUGUCAGCUCUGUUGAUCUUGGGGUUACACCUGGCCCUAAAACGCAUGCCUGAGUUGAUUUCCGCAGCUGCACCACUAAUGACGCGCUGACUCAAAAACGUCUAUUCCGCUGACUAGACAGUCUUCUCGGGAAACCGACAGGAGCUACCAGCUGGAGCUGGCUGCACCCUAGAAAAGAGGUCACAGUGGCGACUGCUCAAGCAACUCAAAGGAAGGUGGGGAGGAAAAGAAAACACGAUCCAAAUUUACAAAUUUAGGAAAACCUUUUGCCCAACUUGGAUUGCCAGUUGUAUUGGCGGGCGCAAGGCUCAGAGUGGACCGGACCGCGAUCUUGAUGGCCGAGCCUCUGGCGAAGGCUUGUACGCGCGCGAGAACCCUGGCUUCAAGGCUGCUCUCGAGGCCGCUUUUUAGUCUCCAAAUGAGCCUAAUUUCGAUUUCCCGGCUAGCCUGAGCUGGCUCAGGAGACUUUGUCCGCCUCGUUGACGGCUGCCUCUCCCCCUUCGCCAAGGCCGGAUCUGGGCGGUCCGUUCCCGUGUAUCUCCUUGGAACCUCUCUGGGGAAGGGGGUGGUGAACAACUCCCAGCUGCCGGUUCCAUUUGUUGCGCCUUUUUCCUUCGACACAAUAAAAGUCAAAUUAAUUGAUUC
ensembl:lincRNA Gm12688 predicted gene 12688